rnacentral:rRNA from 1 species
AUUGAACGCUGGCGGCAGGCCUAACACAUGCAAGUCGAACGGCAACAGGAAGAAACUUUCCUCUUUCCGGACGCGUGUCGCGCGCGUGUGAAAUGUACGUCAGACUGCCUGAUUGCGGGGGAUAACUCCUGGAAACGGUAACUCUUACAGCACAAAGUCGCAACAGCAGAGAGCAGGACCUUCUCGCCCCUUGCCCUCGUGUAUGAGCCGAUGGCGGAUUAGCUAGUUGGUGGGGUAACGGCCCACCAAGGCGACGAUCCGUAGCUGGUCUGAGAGGAUGAUCAGCCACACUGGAACUGAGACACGGUCCAGACUCCUACGGGAGGCAGCAGUGGGGAAUAUUGCACAAUGGGCGCAAGCCUGAUGCAGCCAUGCCGCGUGUGUGAAGAAGGCCUUCGGGUUGUAAAGCACUUUUAGUGGGGAAGAAGAGAGUAAAGUUAAUACCUUGGCGUAUUGACGGUACCCAAAGAAGAAGCACCGGCUAACUUCGUG